CCACUGACUUAUGUUUGCUACCUGCAAGUUCAUCAAUCUCUUUUUGUAGAAUGUAGAUACAUAUGAAUUCUCAAGCUUGUGUGUCAAGAUUUUGCUGUUGGCACCCUCAAGUUCGCUCCCCAUGUCUUUUAGUUAACAAAUACGAGUGUUGUUGCUGCUGCUGCUUAGGUGUAUGCUAAAUGAGAAGCAGUACUACUUUAUCUUCAGACUUGAUUUCAUGACUAGUAUUCUCUUCUCAUCAUUCUCUUUGUUUAUCAUCUAGUCCUGAAUAUGGAGAUUGCCUUAUAGCUGAAUAAUGGGCAACAGGUUCAGGUCCACUUCCUCCACUCGGACGCGGGGAGAAAAGAACAAGUGCAAAGGAUAGGUGCAUCUUGCUGUCUUUUAAUAACAAUUGUGGUGUUUUGGCUUCCCAUGCAAUGCAACUGUUGGUGAUCGCGAAGGGAGCUUGGCUACCAGACCGUGCCGCUGACCGGAGCAAGGAUGGGGUGUCCUAUGAGCUGGUCCAAGGGAGCAGCGCUGCUGGUUCUGGGCUGAGGCCGGUUGACUAUUGAGUGUGACCUACCUGGGGCAAGCAGGGAGAGUAGGGCAUCGUCAGGAGCCAGCGGUGCUGUUUCUCUCGUGGCAUGGCCGGGAGUGGCUAAAGCUGGGUGAAGGGAGCAGUGCCGCUUCACCUCCGCCCUCGCUGACCUGCGAUGGCGGCGACUUCAACAAACCGCUACCAUGGCAUCGGUGGCCUCAGGUGAUUAAUUCGGUUCCCCUUUGAUGUUGUUUCAGCCAUCGUGGGUGUGUUCUGGUGUGCAUCGGUAUUCAUUGAUGUUCUUUUUUGGGUGCUGUGGAAAUUCUCGACGAUGUUUUGUAUGCCACAUGGGUAUUGUCUGAAGUGAAGUAUAUUAUUUGCUGUGCAGGUCUGAAUGUCCAAAAAAGAGGGAAGGUCAUGAUUAAAUUUUCAGUACUCCCUGGUUGUUGUCUUUAGUUGGUAUAAAUUCCUUAGUUGCUGUUCUGUCCUGGUGGUUUGGACCAGAAUUUGUGCUUGGCAUAGCUCUAAUUUUUCAUUGAAAACAUUUGAAACUAUUGUUGGACAUGAAAGCAGCAGCGGGAGAGCGAUUGUGGCUGUGGCUGCAAGGGGCAGCAGUAGCACGAGCAAGCAGCAGUGGCUGUAGGAGGUGAGGAUGAUGCUUGGAUAUCGAAUACAUGUCACAGCAGCAGCCCUGUGCGUCAUCAUCACGUGUCAGAAGCUGGAAGAAGACCGGACCAAAUAGGAAGUCCAUCUCUAUGUAUGCUAUGCCGCAGCCUUGGUCAAGCAAGCCAGCAGACAUCUCGGAUCCUAGUAAAGUUUGUAAUUCGUGUUGUGUUGGAAUAAGUCCGUGUGCCAGGUUGUUUGGCGUAAAUUAUAUCUUUGAUGUUGUGCAUUUGUUCGUGCAUCGGCUGAUUUGCCUUGACAUUGGAUACUUAUCGUUGUGAGUUGGAGUUUUUGUUCAGAUACUCCAGAUGAAAUGCUAUCUUAUUAUUAUUAUUAUUCAGUGCUUUUGUCUGA